GGAAGAGUGAUUGGGGUAAGCUGUGUCUGUGCAGAGCAGAGGUAACUUCUGUGGUGGAGCUAAGUGCCUAGGAAAGUCAUCCUGGACUUGCUGUUCCUGAAAACUAAGUGAGAUAGCAGUGAACAGAACUGGUUAAAUGAGAACUGGCUGAGAAGGGUUAGUAGUGGCUGCUAAUGAGAAGCCUUUGAGAAGCAGUCUGAUUGCCUCAGUCCAGUUCCACCAUCUUGACAUCUGGGCUGUCGUUGCUGAUCUCCCCAGCAGGACCACCGAUGGAAUGGGUCAUUGACAGGAAACAAAAUGAAUGUCUAAAGAUGGCACCCACCCAGACAAAAGUGGGGCACGUCUGUGAGACGUGAUUCCGAAGGAUCGUUGGCUACAGCUAAGGCCAAAAGAUGUUACACUCCUUGGCUUCGGCUGUUAAACUGAU